rnacentral:snoRNA from 7 species
CCCGCCACUGUACCUGUCUUGUAAUGCAGUGACUUGUAUAGUCCAGAGGUGGGCUGAGAGAAAAUGCCAUCCUAGGAAACAGGGUUAUUCUUCUUGUGGGUAACUCUGUGCCGAAGGCUGGGAACAGCA